AGAGUUUGAUCAUGGCUCAGGAUGAACGCUAGCGGCAGGCUUAAUACAUGCAAGUCGAGGGGCAGCAGGGUGUAGCAAUACAUCGCUGGCGACCGGCAAACGGGUGCGGAACACGUACGCAACCUUCCUUCAAGUGGGGGAAUAGCCCAGGGAAACUUGGAUUAAUACCUCGUAACAUUAUGAAAUGGCAUCAUUUUGUAAUUAUAGUUCCGACGCUUGAAGAUGGGCGUGCGCCUGAUUAGGUAGUUGGCGGGGUAACGGCCCACCAAGCCUUCGAUCAGUAACUGGUGUGAGAGCACGACCAGUCACACGGGCACUGAGACACGGGCCCGACUCCUACGGGAGGCAGCAGUAAGGAAUAUUGGUCAAUGGACGCAAGUCUGAACCAGCCAUGCCGCGUGGAGGAUGAAGGUCCUCUGGAUUGUAAACUUCUUUUAUCUGGGAAGAAACCCAUAUUUUCUAAUGUGGUUGACGGUACCAGAUGAAUAAGCACCGGCUAACUCCGUGCCAGCAGCCGCGGUAAUACGGAGGGUGCAAGCGUUAUCCGGAUUCACUGGGUUUAAAGGGUGCGUAGGUGGGUUGGUAAGUCCGUGGUGAAAUCCCCAAGCUUAACUUGGGAACUGCCGUGGAUACUAUUAAUCUUGAAUAUCGUGGAGGUAAGCGGAAUAUCAUGUAGCGGUGAAAUGCUUAGAUAUGACAUAGAACACCAAUUGCGUAGGCAGCUUACUACACGAUCAUUGACACUGAGGCACGAAAGCGUGGGGAGCAAACAGGAUUAGAUACCCUAGUAGUCC
rnacentral:rRNA from 1 species